ACACAAGCAGGGAGAGCACCAGGCAGAGGAAGAAGGCUCCCCGCUGAGCAAGGAACCUGAUGCAGGACUCAAUCCCAGGGCCCUGGGAUCAUGACGUGAGCCGAAGACAGACGUUUAACCAACUGAGCCACCAGCAUCCCUAGGAACGGUUUUCUAGCAUUCCUUCCCCACCUCUACACUAACACUAGUGGAACUAUCACUGCCAUUGUGAGAGAACAAUGGGCUCGUGGUGGAGGGCAUUAUUCCUCAAAUUAGAGACUCCCCUCCACUCCACUCCCCCUUUUAUUUUGUUUCCCCAUACCAUCAUUUGAUUCAUAAAAAUAAAGUGUUCACCAAGAGGAAAUGGUUCUAGAUCACACAGCAGGUCAACCACAUCCCGAAACAUCUUUGUAAAGUACCAACUUCCAGAAGCAAUUUAUAGAUGCACAACUCUGAAGCAAACUCAAGAUUAAGGCAGGAAGAGAGAAAGAAAGAGAAGAAGAAAGAAAUGGGUUCAAACUUAAGCAAGUCUGACCUACUAGCCUGGCAAAUAGAAAUACAGGCCCAUGUGCAUAUCUUGAAUAACCAAGAGGGACCACAAUAUACACACUGUCCUGGACCUUGAUUUUUUUCAUUUAAUAAUAUACCUUGGAGAUCUUUCCAUAGGAAAAUAGAGUUCCCUGUUGAGAUUAGAGACUUAUACCAGCAUAAUGUUAUGGAAGACUGCUUCUGCACGAUGCUCUGUGACGGAAGGUUUCAAGAUUAAACCAGUUUGGUAAACCAUGCAUGCGUUCCCCUCUUGGAGAUUCACAAUGCAUGUCUGCCUAUUAAAACUUUAAGCA